rnacentral:tRNA from 1 species
AGACUAGUAAGUUAAAAAAACUGUGGGGUUCAUGUCUCCUUAUUACACUUAUGUGUCUGGUUGA